rnacentral:lncRNA from 1 species
AUUUCUUUUAUUUUCUUUCUAGUGUUUUGAUUACUGAUGUUUGCUUUCGGUCUUUUUUGGCAAUCGCAUUAUCAGUGUGUGCUCGACUUAUGAGUAGAUAUUCCUUUGGUAUCUUUCGCCAUUCUUUGUAAAGUUUCAUUUUGAUGAAUUGAUACGAUCAUCUUUAACAGUCUACAACUACACGAGAUAAUUAUAUUCUCCCCUGUUUUUAUGUUACAAUAGAACAUUAAACAAAAAGUCUACUAAACGUUACUAGAGUCCACAAUAUUACAUCUUUGAGGUUC